rnacentral:tRNA from 1 species
AAUAAAGUAAGCUAGUUUUAAUAAGCUUUUAGGCCCAUACCCUAAAGAUGAGAUUUAUCUCCUUUCUUA